CAAGAUUAAAUAAAUCUGAGACAGUGUUGAGAUUUCACGAAUAAGGAAAUGCAGAGUUGGUUUGCUUAUGUAUGUUCUCUCGUAAAAAGGCAGGUCUAAGGGGGGCAGGUUUCACCUUACUGUGUAAAGUUCACACUCAGAUUUCCCUGUAAAGUUCUCAUCAACAUCAUCAUUAUCAUCAUAAAGGUUUUUUAUAAUUUAUUAUAAUUUAAACCCUUUCUCCUUCUCCC
rnacentral:lncRNA from 1 species